CGGAAGGUCCGGGCGUUAUCCGGAUUUAUUGGGUUUAAAGGGCGCGUAGGCCGGAGAUUAAGCGUGUUGUGAAAUGUAGACGCUCAACGUCUGCACUGCAGCGCGAACUGGUUUCCUUGAGUACGCACAAAGUGGGCGGAAUUCGUGGUGUAGCGGUGAAAUGCUUAGAUAUCACGAAGAACUCCGAUUGCGAAGGCAGCUCACUGGAGCGCAACUGACGCUGAAGCUCGAAAGUGCGGGUAUCGA
rnacentral:rRNA from 1 species